ACACUCCUUCCCAUUCCGAACAGGAAAGUUAAGCUCUACAGCGUCGAUGGUACUGCACGGGGGACUGUGUGGGAGAGUAGAACGUUGCCAGGU
rnacentral:rRNA from 1 species